rnacentral:rRNA from 1 species
UACGUAGGGGGCUAGCGUUGUCCGGAAUCAUUGGGCGUAAAGCGCGUGUAGGCGGUCCGGUAAGUCCGCUGUGAAAGUCGGGGGCUCAACCCUCGAAUGCCGGUGGAUACUGUCGGGCUAGAGUGCGGAAGAGGCGAGUGGAAUUCCUGGUGUAGCGGUGAAAUGUGUUGAUAUCAGGAGGAACACCCAUGGCGAAGGCAGCAAACUGGGCAUCAACUGACGCUGAGGCGCGAAAGCGUGGGUAGCAAACAGG